rnacentral:rRNA from 1 species
AAAUUGAAGAGUUUGAUCAUGGCUCAGAUUGAACGCUGGCGGCAGGCCUAACACAUGCAAGUCGAACGGUAGCACAGAGAGCUUGCUCUCGGGUGACGAGUGGCGGACGGGUGAGUAAUGUCUGGGAAACUGCCUGAUGGAGGGGGAUAACUACUGGAAACGGUGGCUAAUACCGCAUAACGUCGCAAGACCAAAGAGGGGGACCUUCGGGCCUCUUGCCAUCAGAUGUGCCCAGAUGGGAUUAGCUAGUUGGUGAGGUAACGGCUCACCAAGGCGACGAUCCCUAGCUGGUCUGAGAGGAUGACCAGCCACACUGGAACUGAGACACGGUCCAGACUCCUACGGGAGGCAGCAGUGGGGAAUAUUGCACAAUGGGCGCAAGCCUGAUGCAGCCAUGCCGCGUGUAUGAAGAAGGCCUUCGGGUUGUAAAGUACUUUCAGCGGGGAGGAAGGUGUUGUGGUUAAUAACCACAGCAAUUGACGUUACCCGCAGAAGA